rnacentral:rRNA from 1 species
GAUGAACGCUGGCGGCGUGCCUAAUACAUGCAAGUCGAGCGAACAGACGAGGAGCUUGCUCCUCUGACGUUAGCGGCGGACGGGUGAGUAACACGUGGAUAACCUACCUAUAAGACUGGGAUAACUUCGGGAAACCGGAGCUAAUACCGGAUAAUAUAUUGAACCGCAUGGUUCAAUAGUGAAAGACGGUUUUGCUGUCACUUAUAGAUGGAUCCGCGCCGCAUUAGCUAGUUGGUAAGGUAACGGCUUACCAAGGCGACGAUGCGUAGCCGACCUGAGAGGGGGAACGGCCCACCGGGACAUAGGAAACGGCCCCACCCCCGAGGGGGGGCAAGGGUGGGGAAUUUUCCGGAAGGGGGGAAAGCGUGACAGAGCAACGCGGCGGGGGUGAGGAGGGUUUUCGGUUUGAAAACCCUUUUUAUUAGGGAAGAAAAAAUGUGUAAGUAACAAUGCCCGUUUGGAGGGAACCAAUCCAGAAAGCAACGGCAAACUAGGG